rnacentral:rRNA from 1 species
GACGAACGCUGGCGGCGUGCCUAACACAUGCAAGUCGAACGGACAGGCGCUGAUCUUGCGGGGUGCAUGAGUGGCGAACGGGUGAGUAACACGUGAGUAAAACGCACUUGAAUUUGGGAUAACUUCAGGAAAAUGGGGCUAAUACCGGAUAGGAGCUUCUGAUGCAUGGUGGGGGAUGGAAAGUUUCGGCUGUGGGGGAUAGAUUGGAGGCUUAUCAGCUUGUUGGUCGAGUAGUGGAUUACAAAGCUUUCGACGGAUAGCCGGCAUGAGCGGGUGAACAGCCACAUGGGGACUGAGAUACGGCGCAGACGCCUACGGGAGGCAGAAGUGGGGAAUAUUACACAACGGGCCGAAGCCUGAGGCAGCGACGCCGCGUGCGUGAUAACGUCCUACUGGGUGUGAACCGCUGUCUCCUGUGACGAAGCGAGAUUGACGGUAAUGGGUAAGAAAGCACCGGCUAACUACGUG